rnacentral:misc_RNA from 1 species
CUUGAUUUCCAAAAACUUGAUGAGUCCUUCUAGAGAAGUCAUAGGAUCUGUGUUCUUCAUCAGUUCCCCUGCAACAUCAGCAGGGCUAACUUCAACUUCUUUAAUAAGCUCUUCAACACAACUAAAGAGAUCAUGCUCCCAUAGAUCCAAGUAAUUGGCUGCUAGCUGCUUGAAGGUGGAGAAUGUGCAGUAAGAUAGGUAUAUGUGCAUAUCCAUACGACCUGCUCUUAGCAAGGCAGGAUCAAUGCGAUCUUUGUAGUUGGUAGUGAAAAUUAUAAUCCUUUCAUCUCCACAGCAGGACAGUAGGCCAUCAAUGGCGUUUAGAAGGCCAGAGAGUGUUACCUGAGGCCGAGAAAUUUGGUUAUUAUUAUCUGGUUGAUGAUCUCCUGCUUGACGGUUUUGCAGCAUGAUGGAGCAGUCGAUAUCCUCCAGCACAAGAAUUGAACGAUUGGACAUAUGAAGCAACAAAUACUCAAGAGAAGAGUCAGAGUUAACAGCAGACAGGUUCAAGUUAUAAAUAUCAAAGUUAAGAAAAUUGGCCAUGGCAGCUAUCAGGCUUGAUUUCCCAGUUCCUGGAGGACCAUAUAAUAAGUAACCUCGCUUCCAUACUUUACCAAUCUUCUUGUAAUACUCCUUGCCCCGAAUGAAGCUAUUAAGAUCUUCAACCACUUUCUGCUUGAGGUCUCCAUCCAUGGCUAGCGUUUCAAAUGUCAUGGGAUGAUCCAGGUUGAUCCCUUUAGAGCUCCAGCCGUCUCUCCCUCCACGAGUAGUGAAAAACUUCACAACCCUAUUUUGAUCCUUAAUUUUCUUCGCCAUUUCAAGAAUGUAAGGCAGAUACUUGUUCUUGACCAUAUCAAUAUAUCGCUUGUGAAACCGAAGCUCAUACCAUCUCAACUCAUAAUGAAGUGCGGAGUUGAAAUCAGUAUAGUAUGCCCACUUCAUGGGAACACCAUGAAAAUCAUCAACAAUCUCUGAGUUCCUGUCCAGACCAUAAGUUAGAACCUUCAUGCUCUCGUUCUUCCCAACAGUGAGACGUCGAGGACCAGAGGCAGAGGAAGUACAGGAAGCAUUACUGCCAAGAUAUGUAACUAAUGCAUUGAAGAGAUGGUUUGUUGAUCCUUCGUGUGAUUCUUUAACAACUACGGUAUGCUCCGACGAGAAACGGCGACUGAAUUCCAACAAGUAACUUCGCAGUUCUUGAGGAACGAACUCAUUGAAUGAACUACGAAGAAUCGCAAUUGAAGCUAACACAGAUAAACUUGAUCCCAUAGCUCUUGAUCUUGAUCUUCUCCACUAGAGAACUUGGCAAAUCUCUAUUAUUAUUAAUUUCAAAUAGUGCAUCGAGUUAUGGAACGAUGAGGAGGCAAG